rnacentral:rRNA from 1 species
GACCUACGACCAUACCAUGCUGAAUACACCGGUUCUCGUCCGAUCCCCGAAGUAAAGUAGCAUCGGGCCCGGUUAGUACUUGGAUGGGAGACCGCCUGGGAAUACCGGGUGUUGUAGGCUU